UUUCUGAAGUACCAAAGAGAAAAACAGGAUGUAAGAUAAACUGGCUAUCUCUUUAAAGAAAAUCUUUCAGGAGGUAUUAAUUCUCGAAGAAGAGAAAUUUCCUCAAAUAAUGCGAAGAAUUUGAGCAUGAAAGUAUCAGUUUUCUGCAGUACCAAAAUGAAUAAGUCAGCGCUUUUUGUAAUGCUUUUUAUUGGACUCCUUGUCCUAACCAAAAAUACGAAUGCUGCGUUGGGCCGUGGUCGUUUUUUGAUUUGCCGUCGAAGAUGGGAAGAGUAUAACCAAAUAAAACAGGCUAAAGACACUGACUUUAACCUUGAAGAGGUAGACGAGAUCUUCUUAGAGUAAUCACUACAAUUCACUAAAACUCAAAAAUCGGAGAUUUAAUAAACUAAAUACCGUC